UUUUACUUGAGAGUUGAUCCUGGCUCAGACGAACGCUGGCGGUUGCUUAACACAUGCAAGUCGAACGAGAAGCUUUUUAUGAUCCUGGUGAUUUAAGAAGCAGACAGUGGCGAACGGUGAGUAACGCGUGGGGCAACCUGCCUUUCGGAGCGGAAUAGCCGCGGAAACCGGGAGUAAAGCCGCAAACAUUAUUUUUCGCAUGAAGAAAUAAUCAAAAACUCCGGGCCGAAAGAUGGGCCCGCUCCUAUUAGCUGGUUGGUGAGGCAACGGCUCACCAAGGCGACGAUAGGUAGCGGUUGAGAGGGCGAACGGCCACACUGGAACUGAGAACACGGUCCAGACUCCUACGGGAGGAGCAGUGGGGAAUAUUGCGCCAAUGGGGGCAACCUGACGCAGCAAUACCGCGUGAGUGAAGAAGGUUUUCGGAUCGUAAAGCUCUGUUAUUGGGGAAGAAGAAGUGGACGGUACCAAUGAGGAAGUCCCGGCUAAUACUGCCAGCAGCAGCGGUAUACGUAAGGGACGAGCGUUGUCCGGAAUCACUGGCGUAAAGGGCGCGUAGGCGGUUUUAUAAGUCAGAUGUGAAAGGUACCGGCUCAACCGGUGCGUGCAUUUGAAACUGUAAGACUUGAGUACUGAAGAGGCCAGCGGAAUUCCUAGUGUAGCGGUGAAAUGCGUAGAUAUUAGGAAGAACACCGGUGGCGAAGGCGGCUUGUGGGCAGAUACGACGCUGAGGUGCGAAAGCAUGGGGAGCGAACAGGAUUAGAUACCCUGGUAGUCCAUGCCGUAACGAUGAAUACUAGGUGUUGGCAGUUAUGUCAGUGCCACAGUUAACACAAUAAGUAUUCCGCCUGGGGAGUACGACCGCAAGGUUGAAACUCAAAGGAAUUGACGGGGACCCGCACAAGCAGCGGAGCAUGUGGUUUAAUUCGAAGCAACGCGAAGAACCUUACCAGGCCUUGACAUCCUCUGACCGUCUUAGAGAUAAGAUUUCCCUUCGGGGACAGAGGACAGGUGGUGCAUGGUUGUCGUCAGCUCGUGUCGUGAGAUGUUGGGUUAAGUCCCGCAACGGAGCAACCCUGUGAUUAGUGCAUCAUUCAGUUGGGCACUCUAAACAAGACUGCCGUAGACAAUACGAGGAAGGUGGGGACGACGUCAAAUUCAUCAUGCCCCUUAUGGCCUGGGCUACACACGUGCACAAUGGUCUGAACAGAGGGCAGCGAAACCGCGAGGCGGAGCGAAUCCCACCAAAACAGAUCUCAGUUCGGAUUGUAGGCUGAACCCGCCUACAGAAGAUGGAGUUGCUAGUAAUCGCGGAUCAGAAUGCCGCGGUGAAUGCGUUCC
rnacentral:rRNA from 1 species